rnacentral:rRNA from 1 species
GACGAACGCUGGCGGCGUGCUUAUCACAUGCAAGUCGAACGGAAAGGCCCUGCUUUUGUGGGGUGCUCGAGUGGCGAACGGGUGAGUAACACGUGAGUAACCUGCCCUUGACUUUGGGAUAACUUCAGGAAACUGGGGCUAAUACCGGAUAGGAGCUCCUGCUGCAUGGUGGGGGUUGGAAAGUUUCGGCGGUUGGGGAUGGACUCGCGGCUUAUCAGCUUGUUGGUGGGGUAGUGGCUUACCAAGGCUUUGACGGGUAGCCGGCCUGAGAGGGUGACCGGCCACAUUGGGACUGAGAUACGGCCCAGACUCGUACGGGAGGCAGCAGUGGGGAAUAUUGCACAAUGGGCGGAAGCCUGAUGCAGCAACGCCGCGUGCGGGAUGACGGCCUUCGGGUUGUAAACCGCUUUCGCCUGUGACGAAGCGUAAGUGACGGUAAUGGGUAAAGAAGCACCGGCUAACUACGUG